AAUGUACUCAUCUUCAUCUUCUGUGACCGUAAAACAGCAAUGUUCAACGUAAGGGGAUCACUGAGGUUAAAACUGCUAAUUAAAAAGGCAAAAGUCCUCUUGUUGAACACAAACCGAUUUACAAUAAAGGAAGACUUCGUCCCAAACGUUUUGUCCAUUAGGUGUGUCGAUUGGUCCAUUGCUCUGUCUGUGAGAUUGGAGGCAGCCAUGCUGUGCAGUGUUGUGUUUGUUGUUAUGGUACAGAGGUGAUCCCUCAUGUCUCUCUCAGUGAGCAGCUGUCACUCCCUGCACCUCUGCUGUUGUUGUUCUCUUGAUGAGGUACUUUCCCUCCCUCACACUUCCUCCCACAUGACCCUUUGUUUUAUGACCUGUGUGUUGUGUGUGGUGUGUGUGUGUGUGUGUGUGUGUGUGUGUGUGUGUGUGUGUGUGUGUCUGACUGAUACAUGUGGCACAUGUAUCUGAUGUGGGCCCGCGGAUUCUCAGAACAUGAUUUAAACCGAAUGUACCUUCACUACUGAUGAUGUGCAUGCCCACACACACAAAACAGGCACAAAAAAUAUGGGCAUUGAUACAUUCGUAUUACAUCUUCCUCUAUUGUACAAAUGCACAUUCAUUGGAAUCUGAAUCACCAUCAGAUACCAGCAAUCACAAGCCAAAACCUCACCGGGCACCGCUGGUUCUCAUCUUUUACUCAUCCAGUUAGUGACGUGCUGAUUGUGUGACGACGUCGUGUCGUGUAAUUGUUUUUGCAUAACUCCUGCUUCUCUUUUCCACACACACACUCUCCCAUCUCGCAUCUCCUUUGGCUUCCACUGCCAUCAUGUCCACUGUACAAGCAUGUGGCCGUCCAUCAGGGGAACAAAACUCAUGGAGGAAUUGGGAAUCCCCUGCUUAACGGCUUCUUUGAUAAACGAAAGGUAGAGAGCUGCACCCAGCAGAUGGUACGUGGUGAGUGGAUAAGGGCUGAACAUGACAGAUUACUAUUAACUCAGAAUAAAGGAGGUUUAAAACAUGUAUCACAGGGGCAUGAAUUCUCGAUAACACUGUUUGAACGUCAUGUAUGAUAUGUAAAUCUGUUUACUUUCUGUAUUUCCACUUGUGUUCAACACCAGGACAACAUGACAACUGUUUGCACUGUUUGUGCAACAUAAAUCAUUUCUUCUUCUUUUUACAAUCAUCUUUUGGCCAUUUCUGCCUUUUCAUAGCAAGGGCAGCACUAAAGGGGAGAGAGAAGGUGAAGACAUGCAGCAAACCUGCUGCAUGUUACAACAGAAAUCCUUUCUGAACAUUAUGUUGACUAUAAACAAUGUGUUUUCUGUUUAGAAAAGCAACAUAUUUGUAAUUAUCAAAGGUUCUAAGGUCAAUCGUGUGAGUGUAAUAAAUACUUUUAAUGAAAAA